GAAUAUAGAGUUGAACGCCAGAGGGACGUGCCUGCAGAAGAACGAGGAGCCGGAAUGAAGGCACUCCACACCUCCAUUGCCCAUAUAUAUUACGAUUUAAACUGCUCGGUGAUUGCGGUUUCAAAGUCCAGUGGUGCUGUUUAAAAAGAGACAUAGUGCUCAACUUAUUUUCUACUUUACAGUCCGUGCGGACACGGCAUCUUCGGUGCCGUGAGCUGUGUUUCUCACGAAAAUCCUCCUUAGAUAGAAAUAACCCAUGAUAAGCAUGCUAGACGUAAAUCAUAUGUCACGGGUAAGAGUUUCAAAGGUUGCAUUCAUGUUCUUGACAAGAAGCCCAUUCCCAAAAUUGGUGAAGGAGGCAAUGGACAGCGGCGGGGGAACUUCUCCCAAAAUGGCCGGAGUGGAAUGGGGUCUCUUGUCAAGAACAUGAAUCCAACCUUUGGAAGUCUUUUGUGAGGGAUCUCAUUCUUUUGUCAAAACUUGUACUCCUCGCCUCGGCCCGGGUCCGUUUGAUAAUAAAAAAUAUUUUUUAAUUAUAAAAUAAAAUUUUAAUAAUAUAAAAUAUAUUUUUACUAAUAAAAUACAUAUUAUUAAAAUUUUAAAAAUUAUUUUUUUUAAUUUAUAAACGUGCCGGGCCGGGCCGACCCGGGCCCGGCCUGCCGAGCUGUUUUCUCGGCCCGAACCCGAACCUGAACCUGACCGGGCCGGGUACCGGGUACCCGAUGGGUACCCGGCCCGUUGCCCAGGUCUAAUUGGGCUCAAGUUGGCUUGACAAUCGAUUUUAUAGCUCGAAACUAAACCAGCCCCCCAGCCCUAUGUCCGUAGGGGCGUAUAAUUUUGCCAAGCCUAUUUUGUGGUUUGCAGCCGUGCCAAACAUAAAACUCAAGUUCAAAAGCACCAUGUUUUUUAUUAAAAAAACAUGUGAUUAUGUUGAACAUUUCAUUGUUAAAAUUAUGUACAACAUCCAUAAUUUCUCUCAUAUUCAGAACCAAGCAUGUUUCUCUUGAGUAAAGAAGAGUGUUUUAAAACCCCAAUGAUGUGCAUACCGAACACCUUAUUCGGUAAGGUGUUUUAAAACCCCAAUGGGGUGCUUACCGAACACCUCAUUCAUUAUACAUGUUCUGAUCUUGAGUUUCAAGUAAGAGAUUAGAUGAAUAUGUUGGUCAACAAUUUAGGUUUAUUGUUAUAGGAACUCUUUUUUGAAAAAAAAAAGCUGUUUUAUAUGUCAAAAACAGGUCACCGGAAAGACUUUAUUUUCUGAAAAACGCAAAAUGGAAAAAAAGGUCAAAAACAUCAAACAAUGCAUUUUUCGUGUUCUUUUAGUCACAUUUAUCAUUUCUACAUGUUAUUCUUACAUUGUUUUCGUAUGUUUUUUUAGGAGUUUAUUAAAUUUUUUUAAAAACUGGUAAAGAUUUUCAACUUUGCCAUAUUGUACUUGAGAAAAAUCCGGCCAUUUGAAGCCCAUAAAUUGUAUUUGUGACAAUGUUUAGAUUCAGCGAUAAAAAUAUCCUUUCCCUUCUCACAGCAAGUCUAAUACUUUGAUCCUAAGGCAUUUUUUUUUUAAGUAUAUUGCCCUCUCUUUUGCUUUUAAGUCACCUUAACGGGUCAGGCUUGAUCGGUACCCUUCGGGGCCAACAGAGGAAGGCCCACCAAAUGUUCCUCGACUAAAUACUAUCUCUCCUAUGCAAUUUGGUGCUUGUUUUCUUAACAAGCUUCUUUUGUUGGGUAGUGGUAGUGGCCAAGAGCCCUACCCAUUCAUCUCGUAAUUGCAAGGGGGCCCACUUGCAGUUACGAGCUUUAAUGCUCACCUAAAAUCUCUCACUCACUGUAACCGUUGCUGGAUUUGGAGAAAACCUAAGGGGCUGGCUAUUUAUAUCCAGCGAGACUAAGUAAUAAAUCGUUGAUUACAUAUGAGGAGCCCCUCAGAAGGAAACCCCAAAAACUGACAUACUCUUCUACUUCCUCUUGUGCUGUUUUCUCCAGGGACAAUUUCUACAAGGAACUAAAGCCGCAGGCGACUUGCAACUUCCGUUGCAUCGUAAGUUUCUCCAACAGUGGUAUCAGAGCCACAGGUUCUACGAAUACCAGGACAAUUUCUACAUGGAACUAAAGCCGCAGGCGACUUGCAACUUCCGUUGCAUCGGGAUGGAGAUAGAGAUGGAGGCAGAUUCUCAAGAGCUAGAAGUUCCAGCAAUAGAAGUUGUGACUACUUCAGAGUCUUCAACUGAAGCAUCUCGCCGUGUGUCCAAAUCACCCAGGACAUCCAUUAGAAGGAUAUUACAAUGAGGAAGACGUUCCUUAAAGGAGACAGAUGCAUAGACAUGUAUUUCUUCAAGAAGACCUGCAGUUGUUGUCCGCCAUGAGUCAAAGUCAGUUUGUCAAUCUAUCUCGUCUCAAAACCCUGGAGUUUAUAGUCUUGAUAAAUGUAAUAAGCCAAAUAUUUGGCACUCACAGUUUGGUCAUUGUAGCCGUGUCUUUGUUGAGAGGCUUGUGUUAGAUGGUCUUCUUCCUAAGUUUAGUGUAAGUU